AAAAGAUGGUGGCCGCGUCUAUACAGGAUGGAGAGGCAGUUUGGUUUGGCUGCGACGUUGGAAAAUGUUUUAACAGCAAGCUAGGCAUCAACGAUUUGAAGAUAUACAACCACGAGCUGAUGUUCGGGGUGUCCGUCAAGAAUAUGAAGAAAGACGAGCGGCUGAUUUUCGGGGACUCCAUGAUGACGCACGCCAUGGUCAUUACAGCCUUCACGAAGAAAG